rnacentral:rRNA from 1 species
GACGAACGCUGGCGGCGUGCUUAACACAUGCAAGUCGAACGAAGUGGCGAACGGGUGAGUAACGCGUAAUCAACCUGCCCUUCAGAGGGGGACAACAGUUGGAAACGACUGCUAAUACAGCAUACUGAAGGAGGGGAUUGCGUCUGAUUAGCUAGUUGGAGGGGUAACGGCCCACCAGGGCGAUGAUCAGUAAUCGGUCUGAGAGGCUGAACGGCCAUAUUGGGACUGAUAAACGGCCCAGACUCCUACGGGAGGCAGCAGGGGGGAAUUUUCCGCAAUGGACGAAAGGCUGACGGAGCAACGCCGGGUGAGUGAUGACGGCCUUCGGGUUGUAAAGCUCUGUUAAUCGGGACGCGGUACCGGAAUAGAAAGCCACGGCUAACUACGUGCCAGCAGCCGCGGUAAUUC